rnacentral:rRNA from 1 species
UACGUAGGGUGCAAGCGUUACUCGGAAUUACUGGGCGUAAAGCGUGCGCAGGCGGUUAUGUAAGUCAGAUGUGAAAUCCCCGGGCUCAACCUGGGAACUGCAUUUGUGACUGCAUCGCUGGAGUGCGGCAGAGGGGGAUGGAAUUCCGCGUGUAGCAGUGAAAUGCGUAGAUAUGCGGAGGAACACCGAUGGCGAAGGCAAUCCCCUGGGCCUGCACUGACGCUCAUGCACGAAAGCGUGGGGAGCAAACAGG